rnacentral:rRNA from 1 species
UACAGAGGGUGCGAGCGUUGUUCGGAAUUAUUGGGCGUAAAGGGCGCGUAGGCGGUGCGGUAAGUCACCUGUGAAAUCUCCUGGCUCAACUGGGAGCUUGCAGGCGAAACUGCCGUGCUGGAGUGUGGGAGAGGUGCGUGGAAUUCCCGGUGUAGCGGUGAAAUGCGCAGAUAUCAGGAGGAACACCGGUGGCGAAGGCGGGUCUCUGGGCCGUAACUGACGCUGAGGAGCGAAAGCGUGGGGAGCGAACAGG